rnacentral:rRNA from 1 species
UACAGAGGUGGCAAGCGUUGUUCGGAAUUACUGGGCGUAAAGGGUGCGUAGGCGGAUAGGUAAGUCCGUGGUGAAAUCCUGCAGCUUAACUGCAGAACUGCCGUGGAUACUAUCUAUCUUGAAUGUCGUGGAGGUUAGCGGAAUAUGUCAUGUAGCGGUGAAAUGCUUAGAUAUGACAUAGAACACCCAUUGCGAAGGCAGCUAACUACGCGAUAAUUGACGCUGAUGCACGAAAGCGUGGGGAUCAAACAGG